GGCGGGCGCGCGCGCGGCCGGUCUCUUAUAGUGGCGCGGGGGGGCGGGGCCGGUGCGUCACGCAGCGUGGACAUGGCGGGAGCGCGCCUCUCGCCGCUGGCGGGUCUCAGCGCGCAUGCGCGGCGGCGGCUGGAGCCUGUUGUCGCCCGGGGGGAGGUCGCGGCGCCCGAACCCGAGCGCGGCUUAGGAGCGCUGUCUGUCGUGACGUCACGGCGGGCGGCCCCGCCCCUUCCCGCGCCGGGAGUGCGAGCGGCUGGGCCGGGGCCGGGGCCGGCGCUGCUGCCGGGCGGGGUGGAGGGCACGGGUGCAGAGGAGCUUUGCAAGGGAGUGGGUCGAUUUUAAUGAGCCACGAAGUCACGGGAGUCCCUGGGGCCGCCCGAGCAGACACCUGCUGCCGCUGGGUUUCAAGUUUGGGCGCAGCAGGGAUCCGCGGGGGGCGACCGCUGUCGUGCCCCCGUCUGCCCUGCCGGCUAGGAGCAGGGCAUCCCGCAGCCGUAUCGCUAUCCAGGCUCACCGGAAAGACUACGCGGAGGACGGGGCCCCUGGCUUUCUGAACCAGUUCUAGGACAAAAUGAUGCCGAUGGUGGCAGUAAACUUCAUCAUGCAACUGACACAUGAGAGAGGAAGAGGAUUAAGAAAAUGCCCUGUUGUGAUUUCAACUCAGUUCAUUCCUAGAUGUCAGUGGACUUGCUUCUCCAUUGUCUGUUUGAUCAAGAGUUCUGCCUCUCACGUUCUCCAGGUGAGAAAACUAUAAAACAAGUAUGAAGUCUGUUUCCACACGGAUGAAAUGGACAGGGCUUUUCAUACAGAAGAGAAACACCAAACUGUGUCAAUUAAAAACAAAUUAUAAAGAUAGUUGAACCCAGUUAAGAUAAUUUAUUUGCUUUACUUUCAUGAGCAGACUCACUAAUGUUAAUGGGAGUAAAGGAAGCAGCAUAUAGCAAAAACUAGUACAAAGCAUACACUCAUAUCUAUAAUUACACUGAUAAGUGUUUAUAUAUAUUUCAAAAUCUUUUCUCUAUAUUUGAAAUUCCUUCAUUGCAGGCAUUUUUCUUCUGGAGUAAAUUAUGACUGAACAUCUAGAUUUCUAAUUAUUUUUCCAAAGCAUAAUAAACCAGCAGUAGGACUUGACCGUAAGUAAUAAUAAUUUAAGUAAAGAGUAUAUGAAAGGGUUUGCAAGGCCAGGACCUAUGUACCUUUACACUUAGACUUUAGAGCUCUUGAGAUAACUAGAAUUACAGAAUAUAAGAGCCAGAUGAGUAAAAUAUCAGGGCCUAGUUUCCAAGGUGCUGAAGCCAACAUUUUCAAGCCUGAAUUCCUAGAGGUAGGAACCUAAGCUCAUAUUUAAGCAUGGAGAAGUGCUGAGCAUUUGUAGCUUCCAAUGUAUGCUGUUAACUCCAAGCCAUUUUAAAAUUUAGAUCAAAGGCAACCUAUUUCUGGGCUUAACUUUAGAUAGCCAAGUUUGAACAUUUUUAGUCAAGUGCCUCUUCCAAGGAGUUAAGUACCUUCCCAUUGCAAAAAAUUCUAAUUGUUCACGUCCUACUAAAAGCAGCGAAUUAGGUGUGCCUUUACAGAACUUCAGAGUACACUAAGAAAUAUACCAAUUUAAUAUGCCAGCAUGAACACUAUAUCCAUAAGAGGUAUGAUAUGUGAGUAAGGAGACCCAUCUAGUCUUCUGCUACCCCCUAUGUAUCUGUCAGCAGCAAGCACUAGCAGAGGUUUUUGCUCAAGGGACAGUAACUAGUGUCAAUAAGUGUGUUGUGGUGGCCCUCACCUAUCUAAUCUUGUAUUUGGAGGUGGGCAGAACUUAUGCAAGUCAUACAGUCAGUAUCUGGUAUUCUGCUAAUAUCACCCUUGUGUGGCAGUCUUAAAUAAGGAAAGGAUUUGGUUCUUGGGCCAAAUUAGUGCACAAUAAAACACAUAGAUGUGUGUAUAGAUUCACCCUUAUAAGUGACUGAGAGAACUUGAGUAUAGCUGGACUGGACUGCUACUAAACUGUUUGAACAGUUAGUUCUAGAUCUUGGUUAUGUCCCAACAGGACCAAAUGGGCAGAGUUUAUAUCUUUUAUAACUUCAUUUAGGAUACCACUGAAUCAGGAAGGGAUGGUGAAUAGCUGGUGAUGGGCCAUUUAUUUUUUAAACAGGAGGUCCAAGCUGGAAUAAAUCUGGAAUCAAACAAUUUUCUCCACCACACUGUUCUAUUUGUUACUCGGGACCUCCAUCUCCUCUGCUCAUUAUACAAAUUGGUUUGAGUCCUUCUUGCUUCAUUGAAUCAAAGGUAAUUUUACCAUUUACCACAAUAAGAGCAGAAUGAGCACUCAGUGAAGGGACUUUAAAAUGUCAUUUUUUUCCUAUACAAGGCAUUCAAUAUCUUGGAAAGUCCCCAACUCCUAAAACAGCAUAAAUUAUGAGAUUUAACUGAGAAAUACUGCACUUUAGAUUCCAUCUGAGAUUGUAUCAUGUAUGCACAGCAUUUUAUAUUUAUCACCUUAAAUUACUUCUAUUGAAUUUUGAUUAUAAUGCUUUUUAAAAAUAUCACACUAGCUUAUACGUGGUCAGAAAUAAAUCGAAUAUGAUUCUUUCUACUUUGUGCUUGGAUGAUGUACUAAUUUAUUUCCCACAACAGUACCAUUCAUUGUAUAAAGCUAGGAGUUGUUUUUCUAAUUUUAACAAGUUUAGCUUGCUAAUAACCAAGACAAAUGUAUACAUUUGUGUUUUUCAGGUGAAGUUUUUCACUUUAAUCAAAAACAUGCUUGCAAUGCAUGAGACACUCAAGUGAUCUCUUGCACAAUUUUUUAAAUGUUAGAAUUAAUUAAUGACAAACAUUUAGUUAGAAAUCUUUAGUAAGCUGGUUCUUAAUGUUUAUCUUGAUUUAUAUUCAAGUCAUGUAUUUAUUCAGACUUUCAAAUAAAAUGUUUGAAUUGGUA